rnacentral:rRNA from 1 species
ACGAGCGUUGAAAAGCUCGGGGAUGACUUGUGGAUAGGGGUGAAAUUCCAAUCGAACCCGGAGAUAGCUGGUUCUCCCCGAAAUAGCUUUAGGGCUAGCCUCAAGCGUAGAGAAACGGAGGUAGAGCACUGAAUGUCCUAGGGGGUAUUGCACUUACCGAAGACUAUCAAACUCCGAAUGCCGUUUUCUUUUACUUGGGAGUCAGACUGUGGGUGAUAAGAUUCAUAGUCAAAAGGGCAACAGCCCAGAUCGUCAGCUAAGGUCCCUAAAUGUACGUUAAGUGGUAAAGGAUGUGGGAUUGCACAGACAACCAGGAUGUUGGCUUAGAAGCAGCCACUCAUUUAAAGAGUGCGUAAUAGCUCACUGGUCGAGUGAUUCUGCGCCGAAAAUUUCCGGGGCUAAAACUUACUACCGAAGCUACGGCAUCAUUAUGAUGGGUAGGGGAGCUUUCUAUGCGGCUUGAAGCAUGACCGUAAGGACAUGUGGACAGUAUACGAGUGAGAAUGUUGGCAUGAGUAGCGAGACGUGGGUGAGAAUCCCACGGGCCGUAAACCCAAGGUUUCCAGGGGAAGGUUCGUCCGCCCUGGGUUAGUCGGGACCUAAGCCGAGGCCGAAAGGCGUAGGUGAUGGACAACAGGUUGAUAUUCCUGUACCGCCAAUAAGCGUUUGAGAGAUGGAGUGACACAGUAGGAUAAGCUAACCGUACUGUUGGUUAUGUACGGCUAAGCAUUGAGGCAGUCUAAAUAGGCAAAUCCGUUUAGACAAUGCUAGGAUGUGAUGGGGAAGCCCUUCGGGGCGAAGUAGCUGAUUUCACACUGUCAAGAAAAGCUUCUAUCGAGUUUAAAGGCGCCCGUACCGUAAACCGACACAGGUGGGUGAGGAGAGUAUCCUAAGGCCAGCGAGAGAACUAUUGUUAAGGAACUCGGCAAAAUGACCCCGUAACUUAGGGAGAAGGGGUGCCUGUCUAUGACAGGCCGCAGAGAAUAGGCCCAAGCGACUGUUUACCAAAAACACAGGUUUCUGCUAAGUCGCAAGACGAUGUAUAGGAGCUGACGCCUGCCCGGUGCUGGAAGGUUAAGGGGAUCUGUUAGAGCAAUCGAAGCAGUGAACUUAAGCCCCAGUAAACGGCGGCCGUAACUAUAACGGUCCUAAGGUAGCGAAAUUCCUUGUCGGGUAAGUUCC